CAAACGGCCCUUUUCAGGGCCACACACAAGUGUACAUGAAGUGUAA
rfam:Trachymyrmex cornetzi contig20324, whole genome shotgun sequence.